UAGGAUUUAAUUUUUACACUUUUGUAAGAACUUUUAAAAAAAAAAACCAGACCAGAAAAACUCACUUUGUUGUUUUCUGCUCUUUGCUUAAGGGAAUUUGUGUGUGUGUGUAUGUGUAUAUGUACAAAAGUGAGAAAAAAAAAACGUGGGCUGGCCCCAUGGCUGAGUGGUUAAGUUCGUGCACUCUGCUUCGGCAGCCCAGGGUUUCGCCGGUUCAGAUCCUGGGCAAGGACAUAGCACGACUCAUCAGGCCAUGCUGAGGUGGCAUCCCACAAGCCACAACUAGAAGGACCCACAACUAAAAUAUACAACUAUGUACCGGGGACUUUGGGGAGAAGAAAAAGAAGAAGAAAAAAAAAAGAUUGGCAACAGUUGUUAGCUUAGGUGCCAAUCUAAAAAAAAAAAAAAUGUGUCACUAUAUUUAUGGGACCCUUUUGGAUUCAGCUAAGUUUUCAUAGGUUUGGCAGAUUAUUGGAAAGUUUUGCUCCUCUAAUUCCUCAUGUAGGGGUCCUCUGCCAAGUGGAUCAUUGUGGGUCUAUGAAAUUAGGGGGGUGAUUAUUUCCUGGCUGAGUUUUGUAAUCUCUUCCCAGAGCUUCCCGUCCAAGUACAACAUCCAUGGUUUCAAUGGAGGCAGCAACCCCACCUGGCAGUGCCUCAGCUCGUAUGGAUGGGCCAGCACUGGCCAUGAGUUAUCAAGCCAGUGAGUCUGAAUCACAGCUCUAUCCCUACAGGGCAAGACUCAGUACUUAAUGGAAACCAUCACACCAUUGCACUGCGAGAGCUCAUCUAACAUGUUGGCUUUGAGAAGCCUCAAGCCUGAAGUAUUGAACGGUCACCUAGAGCAUGUUCAUUUGAUCUGACAGCGCUAGAGAGGAAUGCAGAGGUGGAAACAAGACAAGGAAAUUCCGAUGCGCACGUAUCAGCCCUGGGAUAGAAAGCCUGGAGAAAAGAUGCAAGACUUGCAUGCCCAUCGCAAUCCAUGCCACAGGUGCUGGAAAGAGAACAGCAACCUUUAGUAAGCAAGCGACUGUGACGUGUCCAAGGUACAUGAUUUCCUUUCAAUUAAAGGGUGCUCAGCUAGGGCCUCCUAAUAGGGAGGUUAGUCAGAAAUCCCACAUUUCUGGGAGAGAAACAAUUAGCUCCACUUACAUUUCAGUUGAAUUUUCACUCCCCCAGGUAAAUAUAUGUUGUCUGCCACUUUCUUUUUUGUUAUCAUGUGCAUACGUAAUUUUUUCCCCGUUUUUACCUUUACCUUCUCUAUUGAUUUAA
rnacentral:lncRNA from 1 species